rnacentral:rRNA from 1 species
AGAGUUUGAUCCUGGCUCAGGAUUAACGCUGGCGGCAUGCCUAAUACAUGCAAGUCGAACGAGGUAGCAAUACCUAGUGGCGAACGGGUGAGUAACACGUAGGGAACCUGCCCUUAAGACGAGAAUAACUAUUGGAAACGAUAGCUAAGACUGGAUAGUAUAUAAGAAGGCAUCUUCUAAUAUUUAAAGUUCCUGCAAGGGAACGCUUAAGGAUGGCCCUGCGGAGCAUUAGCUAGUUGGUACGGUAACGGCGUACCAAGGCGACGAUGCUUAGCUGUGCUGAGAGGCAAAACAGCCACACUGGGACUGAGACACGGCCCAGACUCCUGCGGGAGGCAGCAGUAGGGAAUUUUCGGCAAUGGGGGAAACCCUGACCGAGCAAUGCCGCGUGAAUGAUGAAAUUCUUCGGAAUGUAAAAUUCUGUUAUUAGGGACGAAAGUAAGGAAUAGGAAAUGAUUAAUUAUUGACGGUACCUGAUUAGAAAGCCCCGGCUAACUAUGUGCCAGCAGCCGCGGUAAUACAUAGGGGGCAAGCGUUAUCCGGAUUUAUUGGGCGUAAAGAGUGCGUAGGUGGCUAUUUAAGUCUGUCGUGAAAUCCCAUAGCUUAACUAUGGAGGGUCGGUGGAAACUGGGUAGCUUGAAUACAGAAGAGGUAAGUGGAAUUCCAUGUGUAGCGGUAAAAUGCUUAGAUAUAUGGAGGAACACCAGUGGCGAAGGCGGCUUACUGGUCUGUUAUUGACACUGAGGCACGAAAGCGUGGGUAGCAAACAGGAUUAGAUACCCUGGUAGUCCACGCCCUAAACGAUGAGUAUUAAGUAUUGGGCGAAAGCUCAUUGCUGAAGUAACGCAUUAA